rnacentral:rRNA from 1 species
CCUACGGGUGACAGCAGUGGGGAAUAUUGGUCAAUGGACGAGAGUCUGAACCAGCAACGUAGCGUGAAGGAAGACUGCCCUCUGGGUUGUAACCUCCUUUUACAUGGGAGUAAAUCGUUCCACGUGUGGGAUAUUGUCCGUACCAUAUGACUCCGGAUCGGCCAACUCCAGGCCAGCAGCCGCGGUAAUACGGAGGAUCCGAGCGUUAUCCGGACUUAUUGGGUGUAAAGGGAGAGUAGGCGGACUGAUAAGUCAGUUGUGAAAGUUUGCGGCUCAACCGCAAAAUUGCAGUUGAAACUGGCAGUCUGGAGUACAGGAGAGGCAGGCGGAAUUCGUGGUGUAGCGGUGAAAUGCGUAGAUAUCAGGAAGAACACCGGUGGCGAAGGCGGCCCACUGGACUGCAACUGACGCUGAGGCGCGAAAGCGUGGGGAGCAAACAGGAUUAGAUACCCUGGUAGUC